rnacentral:tRNA from 1 species
AGGGUGGUAGUAUAAUUAGUAUACGUGGUUUCGGCCCACGCGGUAAUCUGGUGUUUUCACUCUU